rnacentral:rRNA from 1 species
AGCGAACGCUGGCGGCAGGCCUAACACAUGCAAGUCGAACGGACCCUUCGGGGUUAGUGGCGGACGGGUGAGUAACACGUGGGAACGUGCCUUUAGGUUCGGAAUAGCUCCUGGAAACGGGUGGUAAUGCCGAAUGUGCCCUUCGGGGGAAAGAUUUAUCGCCUUUAGAGCGGCCCGCGUCUGAUUAGCUAGUUGGUAGUGUAAUGGACUACCAAGGCUACGAUCAGUAGCUGGUCUGAGAGGAUGAUCAGCCACAUUGGGACUGAGACACGGCCCAAACUCCUACGGGAGGCAGCAGUGGGGAAUCUUGCGCAAUGGGCGAAAGCCUGACGCAGCCAUGCCGCGUGAAUGAUGAAGGUCUUAGGAUUGUAAAAUUCUUUCACCGGGGACGAUAAUGACGGUACCCGGAGAAGAGGCCCCGGCUAACUUCGUGCCAGCAGCCGCCGUAAAAC